rnacentral:rRNA from 1 species
AUGAACGCUGGCGGCGUGCCUAAUACAUGCAAGUCGAGCGAACAGACGAGGAGCUUGCUCCUCUGACGUUAGCGGCGGACGGGUGAGUAACACGUGGAUAACCUACCUAUAAGACUGGGAUAACUUCGGGAAACCGGAGCUAAUACCGGAUAAUAUAUUGAACCGCAUGGUUCAAUAGUGAAAGACGGUUUUGCUGUCACUUAUAGAUGGAUCCGCGCCGCAUUAGCUAGUUGGUAAGGUAACGGCUUACCAAGGCGACGAUGCGUAGCCGACCUGAGAGGGUGAUCGGCCACACUGGAACUGAGACACGGUCCAGACUCCUACGGGAGGCAGCAGUAGGGAAUCUUCCGCAAUGGGCGAAAGCCUGACGGAGCAACGCCGCGUGAGUGAUGAAGGUCUUCGGAUCGUAAAACUCUGUUAUUAGGGAAGAACAAAUGUGUAAGUAACUAUGCACGUCUUGAUGGUACCUAAUCAGAAAGCCACGGCUAACUACGUG